UCCUGUGUGAGCACCUCAGUGUCCACACCAUGGGGUCUGCGUUCAUCUGGGCUGCCCUUCUCUUCGCUGUCAAAGGUGGCCUGUGCCAAGUUCAGCUGGUGCAGUCUGGGGGAGGCGUGGUGCCGCCCGGGGGGUCUCUGAGCCUCUCCUGCAGAGCCUCUGGAUUCAACUUCACUAACUAUGAAAUGAACUGGGUCCGCCAGGCUCCAGGGAAAGGGCUGCAGUGGGUGGCAAAAGUGAGUAAACCAACUGGAAAGAAUCAGUGGUAUGCUCCAGCAGUCCAAGGAAAAUUCACAAUCUCCAGGGACAAUCCUACAAGCACAGUCUCUCUUAAAAUGACCAAGCUGACAUCUGAGGACACGGCCAUGUAUUACUGUACAAGAGGCACAGUGGCAGUUCCCACCUUCACCUGCUGCUGGUUCCACUGGGAGCGCCAGACGCUAGGGAAGAGCCUGGAGUGGAUGGGACGGAUCUGGCCUGGUGAUGGGGAUACCAGAUACAGCCAGUCCUUUCGAGGCCACAUCACCAUCUCCACGGACAACUCCACCAGCACCGGCUACCUGCAGUGGAGCAGCCUGAAGGCCUCUGACAAGGCCAUGUAUUACUAUUCGCCCCUGAAGGAAGCAGCAUUUGCUGUGUCCACAGGACUGAGAGCAGGAGAAGGUGUUUCCUGUCCUCAGGUCUCCAGCCUGAGGACCAUCUCAAAGAAUAGGGACACCAAGUAG